AUGGCUGCCAAUACACCGACAACUGAUGCAACUGGAGGACAAUCAUCGAUGGACGAACGGAUCCUGAAAGCAGCCACCUUUGGUGUUUUCUGGGACAUUGAGGUGUUGGCUACAAAGAGUCCAAGCAUUCUUCUUGGAGUAACUCCGCAAGGGAACAACUGCCUCCACAUAUCCACCAUUCAUGGGCACGAAGAGUUCUGCUUGUAUGCGCUGGCACUAGAGCGUUCUCUCCUUGAAAAGGUCAACUGCGAGAACGAGACGCCGCUUGUCAUUGCUGUUUCACUUGGCCAUGCCUCUUUGGCUUCUAAAUUACUGCAGCAAUGCUGCAGAAGACCACGAUUGAGUCGAGCAAUCUUGCAACAAGACAGGUAUGGAUUUAACGCACUGCAUCAUGCUAUUCGCAAUGGCCACAAGCAACUUGCACUGGAUUUGAUAGCAGAAGAGUCUGCCCUGUCGAGAGCUGUGACCAAGUACACUGAGUCACCCAUGUUCAUCGCCGUGAUGAGGAAUUAUGUAGAUGUUUCUGAAAAGCUACUAGACGUUGAUGAUUCUUCUGAUGUUGGACAGUAUGAACGCCAUGCUCUUCAUGCUGCAGCGAGAAAUGGAAAUAAAGUCGAGCAAUGUGAUCCUAGACUUGUUGCUGCUUUAUUAUCUCAUGAGAGUAUAGACCCAACAAUUCUGGACAACCGUGGGAAUUCAGCGGCUUCGCAAUUGUCGAGCAUCACAAUCGAUGACAAGACUUUGGACUGGAAGGAAGUGCAUGUUCUCAUGUCAAAAGCUGAUCCUAGUGAUGAUGACAUCUCCUUGUAUAAUCUUCGCAAGGGGGCCACGAAACAGGAGAGUAUUAAAUCAAGGAGACAGAGAGAGUCAAUGACCCAAAAAUACAGAAGCAACACAUCAUUGGUGGCAAUCCUCCUUGCAACAAUCACCUUUACUGCUGCUUUCACUCUACCCGGAGGAUAUAGCAGUGAUUCUGGAAAUGCGGGACUUCCCACCAUGUCUGGAAAGGUUACAUUUAUAGUGUUCUUGAUCUUUGACACCUUAGCAAUGUGCUCCUCAUUUGUUGUGGCCUUUAUAUGCCUCAUGGGAAAGUGGGAGGAUGAUAAGUUCACAACCUGUUUCAUCUUUGUAACUAAAAAGCUCACCUGGUUUGCAUACUUGGCAACAGUUACGGCUUUUUCAACUGGAUUGUACCCAGUGCUGGCCCCACGUCUCCAAUGGUUGGCGAUUCUGAUUUGCUCCCUGGUAGCUUUUUUCUUCACUCUUACUAUUUUCAUAGCAAAAUGGCCUUCCAUGAAGCUCAGUUUUCGGUUGGGUCAAACAUUGCCUUCCAUGAAGCUCAGUUUUCGGUUGGGUCAAACAUUGCCUUCCAUGAAGCUCAGUUUUCGAUAUGGCGCUCAAAUUUCUGCAAUGGUUUGA
rnacentral:rRNA from 1 species